UACGUAGGAGACGAGCGUUGUCCGGAAUCACUGGGCGUAAAGCGCGCGCAGGCGGCGAUCUACGUCUGGGGUGAAAGCCCGGAGCUCAACUCCGGGACUGCCUUGGAUACGGGAUCGCUUGAGGGUUGGAGAGGCAAGGGGAAUUCCACGUGUAGCGGUGAAAUGCGUAGAUAUGUGGAGGAACACCUGUGGCGAAGGCGCCUUGCUGGCCAAUUUCUGACGCUGAGGCGCGAAAGCGUGGGGAGCAAACAGG
rnacentral:rRNA from 1 species